rnacentral:rRNA from 1 species
CACGUAGGAGGCGAGCGUUGUCCGGAAUCAUUGGGCGUAAAGAGCGCGCAGGCGGCUUGGCAAGUCGGGUGUGAAAUCCCGGGGCUCAACCCCGGGACUGCAUUCGAUACUGUCAGGCUAGAGGUAGGUAGGGGAGAUCGGAAUUCCUGGUGUAGCGGUGAAAUGCGUAGAGAUCGGCAGGAACACCCAGGGGGAAACCAGUCGACUGGGCAUCUACUGACGCUGAGGUGCGAGAGCGUGGGGAGCGAACCGG